rnacentral:miRNA from 1 species
UAAAUGCAUUAUCUGGUAUCUGA